CGAACAAACCAGUUUUAGGGAAGGAUUCAUUGAACACAGCAAAUAUAUUAUAAUAUAGACUAUAUUCAUGCACAUUGAAUUUGACAUAUAGAUAUAUAUACGACUCCAGUGCAAAACUACUGUGAAACAAUCAAAAGGUGCUUAAUUUCAUUGUUUUUUCUCUCUUUUUUCCUCAACUACUGUUGGGGUUUCUUCAGAAA
rnacentral:lncRNA from 1 species